UACCCGCAGCACAAGUGGUGGUCAUUAUUAUUGGGCCUAAAGCGUCCGUAGCUGGCCUGUUAGAUGCCUGGGUAAAUCGAUGCGCUCAACGUAUCGAACUCCGGGUAGACCGGCAGGCUUGGGACCGGGAGAGAUGUGAGCUGCUCGAGGGGUAGGGGUAAAAUCCUGUAAUCCUUCGGGGAGGACCAGUGGCGAAGGCGUCACAUUAGAACGGCUCCGACAGUGAGGGACGAAGCCCUGGGGCGCAAACCGG
rnacentral:rRNA from 1 species